GACGAACGCUGGCGGCGUGCUUAACACAUGCAAGUCGAACGGAAAGGCCCUGCUUUUGUGGGGUGCUCGAGUGGCGAACGGGUGAGUAACACGUGAGUAACCUGCCCUUGACUUUGGGAUAACUUCAGGAAACUGGGGCUAAUACCGGAUAGGAGCUCCUGCUGCAUGGGGGGGGUUGGAAAGUUUCGGCGGUUGGGGAUGGACUCGCGGCUUAUCAGCUUGUUGGUGGGGUAGUGGCUUACCAAGGCUUUGACGGGUAGCCGGCCUGAGAGGGUGACCGGCCACAUUGGGACUGCGAUACGGCCCAGACUCCUACGGGAGGCAGAAGUGGGGAAUAUUGCACAAUGGGCGGAAGCCUGAUGCAGCAACGCCGCGUGCGGGAUGACGGCCUUCGGGUUGUAAACCGCUUUCGCCUGUGACGAAGCGUGAGUGACGGUAAUGGGUAAAGAAGCACCGGCUAACUACGUG
rnacentral:rRNA from 1 species